AGAGUUUGAUCCUGGCUCAGAUUGAACGCUGGUGGUAUGCUUAACACAUGCAAGUCGAACGGUAACAUUGAAGCUUGCUUCAGAUGACGAGUGGCGGACGGGCGAGUAACGCGUAGGAAUCUGGCUAUGAGAGGGGGACAACCAUUGGAAACGAUGGCUAAUACCGCAUGAUACCUUCGGGUCAAAAGUGGCUAGUAAUAGCUGCUGCUUAUAGAUGAGCCUGCGUUAGAUUAGCUUGUUGGUGAGGUAAAGGCUCACCAAGGCCGCGAUCUAUAGCUGUUCUGAGAGGAAGAUCAGCCGCACUGGGACUGAGACACGGCCCAGACUCCUACGGGAGGCAGCAGUGAGGAAUAUUGCACAAUGGAGGAAACUCUGAUGCAGCAACGCCGCGUGGAGGAUGACGCAUUUCGGUGUGUAAACUCCUUUUAUCAAGGAAGAAAAUGACGGUACUUGAUGAAUAAGCACCGGCUAACUCCGUGCCAGCAGCCGCGGUAAUACGGAGGGUGCAAGCGUUAUUCGGAAUCACUGGGCGUAAAGGACACGUAGGCGGGAAGCCAAGUCUGAUGUGAAAUCCUACAGCUCAACUGUAGAACUGCAUUGGAAACUGGUUACCUAGAGUAUGGGAGGGGGAGAUGGAAUUAGUGGUGUAGGGGUAAAAUCCGUAGAUAUCACUAGGAAUACCUAAAGCGAAGGCGAUCUCCUGGAACAUUACUGACGCUAAGGUGUGAAAGCGUGGGGAGCAAACGGGAUUAGAUACCCCGGUAGUCCACGCCCUAAACGAUGUUCACUAGUCGUCGGGAUGCUAGUCAUCUCGGUGAUGCACUUAACAGAUUAAGUGAACCGCCUGGGGAGUACGGUCGCAAGAUUAAAACUCAAAGGAAUAGACGGGGACCCGCACAAGUGGUGGAGCAUGUGGUUUAAUUCGAAAAUACGCGAAGAACCUUACCUAGCCUUGACAUUGAUAGAACGGACCAGAGAUGGACCGGUGCCCUUCGGGGAGCUUGAAAACAGGUGCUGCACGGCUGUCGUCAGCUCGUGUCGUGAGAUGUUGGGUUAAGUCCCGCAACGAGCGCAACCCUCGUCUUUAGUUGCCAGCAGGUUAAGCUGGGCACUCUAAAGAGACUGCCUUCGCAAGGAGGAGGAAGGUGAGGACGACGUCAAGUCAUCAUGGCCCUUAUGGCUAGGGCUACACACGUGCUACAAUGGCCGGUACACAGAGUGUUGAUACCGCGAGGUGGAGCCAAUCACUUAAAGCGUCUCUCAGUUCGGAUUGGAGUCUGCAACUCGACUCCAUGAAGCUGGAAUCACUAGUAAUCGUAGAUCAGCAAUGCUACGGUGAAUACGUUCCCGGGUCUUGUACUCACCGCCCGUCACACCAUGGGAGUUGAUUUCACCCGAAAUUGGGAAGCUAACCUUCGGGAGGCUACCACUUACGGUGGAAUUAGCGACUGGGGUGAAGUCGGAACAAGGUAAACC
rnacentral:rRNA from 1 species